UGGUGAGACCAGCCACCCUAGUUUGCCAGGGACUGAGGAGUUUCCCAGGACUCCAGACUUUCAGUGCUAAAACUGGACAGUCCCAGGCAAACUGGGAUGGUUGGUCACACUAAUGAAAU
rnacentral:pre_miRNA from 1 species